CUGACAUCCAUUUUGGUUUAAAUGAAUGGUUCUAGCAUAUAGAAAGUGUUAGAUGUUGAAUAGUUAGUAUCCUAUAGUGAACUGGUGUUAGCUGUUGGAUUGUAAGUGUUCUACAUCACACAGUUAAUGAAUGGUUUUGCAUUUUAGAGUAGAAAUGUUGUUGAAUGAUGUUCUAUAGUUCAUUUUCUAGAGCAGAAGUAUUGGUUGAUGCUUUGAAACUGUAUUGAUUGUGAAAAGCACUAUUGAACUGAAGAGGGCUGUUUGAUAAACGGUAAGUGUUCUAGAGUACAGACACAUUGAUUGACAAAUGUUUGGUUUUCUAGACUACAAUGAUGUUAGCCGUGACACUAGACGCAUUCAUCCAGGUUUCCUGUUCAGAGUGGCGUUUUCUUCAGUCUCCUGAGCAACAUAAUGUACAGCGUCGAGCUCCGGCAGCAGAACAGAGCGAAGAAAGAGGUUUUAUGGUGACAGGUGGGAGAGAGGGAUACAGAGAGAGAGACUGUGAGGUGUGUGUGUGUGUGUGUGUGUGUGUGUGUGUGUGUGUGUGUGUGUGUGUCUUAUUUAUAGAGGAGAUUUUGGGAGCCGCAUCAGGUGUGGCGUUCGCUAUGCAUCACGGAGGAAAGCCCACUCAGGGUCCCUAGAAACACACGGUAAUUGAGUUCAUUGAUCAAAUUCAGAACGACACGAGAGAGAGAGAGAGAGAGAGAGAGAGAGAGAGAGAGAGAGAGAGAGUCAGGCUUCUUGUCUUACAGUGUGUCAGCUGCUGCUCUGAACGGCAAGAUUUCAGCUUUAUAAAAACAGUAAAAUCAGAAAAACUGAUAUCAGACUAAUAAUUCUGAUUAGAAGAGCAAUGUUUGACUUCUGUAUUAUUGCACCAAAUUGAUUUGUAACAGCAAACAAUUACAGUUAUAAUAAGCUAUAAUGCUGGGAGAAAAAAAUUGUUUAUUAAUUUUAUAUAUAUAUUAAUGUAACUAUUGAACAUCAAUGAUUUUGUAAUAGUAACAUUGCCUUAUAAAAAGCUAUGAGAGCUACUGUAAAAUCACUGUAACAUACAGCCUUUACUGAUGCAUUUCUUAUGUUUUUGAAAGUCUCUUCUUC
ensembl:lncRNA